UACGUAGGGGGCUAGCGUUGUCCGGAUUUAUUGGGCGUAAAGAGCGUGUAGGCGGCCAGGUAGGUCCGUUGUGAAAACUCGAGGCUCAACCUCGAGACGUCGGCGGAAACCCUCUGGCUAGAGUCCGGAAGAGGAGAAUGGAAUUCCCGGUGUAGCGGUGAAAUGCGCAGAUAUCGGGAAGAACACCCGUGGCGAAGGCGGUUCUCUGGGACGGUACUGACGCUGAGACGCGAAAAGCGUGGGGAGCGAACAGG
rnacentral:rRNA from 1 species